rnacentral:rRNA from 1 species
UACGUAGGUGGCAAGCGUUGUCCGGAUUUACUGGGCGUAAAGGAUGCGUAGGCGGAUAUUUAAGUCAGAUGUGAAAUACCCGAGCUUAACUUGGGUGCUGCAUUUGAAACUGGAUAUCUAGAGUGUGGGAGAGGAAAGUGGAAUUCCUAGUGUAGCGGUGAAAUGCGUAGAGAUUAGGAAGAACACCAGUGGCAAAGGCGACUUUCUGGACCAUAACUGACGCUGAGGCAUGAAAGCGUGGGGAGCAAACAGG